CACACCCAUCGAAUCAAUGCAACCUCAUCGUGAUUAGUUAGUCAUUCACGUAUGGUUUACAUGGUGGAGUAAAGCUCAAUGAUGUGUGUUUGUGACACCAUAGGUAAAGCUCAUAUCACAUGUUGUCGGACUUCGUUAUCAAGAACUGGUUGACUUGGUUCAAAAACAAUUCUUAUGAGUUCAUAUGAUCCUACUAAAAGUAUACAUCGAGACCAGAAGAGGUCAUAGAUAAAAAAAUGCCUCACAAGUGGUGGAGACGUUACGCGGAUGUUGAGAUGAAGGCGGGGAAAGAGGGGCAACAAGUACAAUGAAAGUUCAAAUAAAAUAAACUUUCAUAUCGUUUUUUCCGGGAAUGCAUCAAACCAUCAACAAGGUUACAAACAUUCAUGGGAAAAACGCCCUGGAAGUUUCUAAAACUAAGAAAACUGAUACUAAUUCAAUAAAAAUGAUAUUAAUAAACUCAAAUAAUAUAAAUGUUUAAUAAUAUUAGAAAUCAUGUCAAAAUGGAGAGGAUACAGGUAAGUAAAGUUAGUAUCCUAGUUAGUUUUUAAGUAAACAUAUCAAUAAUCAACCUAACCAACAUGGGAAGUCAUAUUGGGCCUAUUUGAAUGUAUAUUUGUAUAGCAGCAUAUAGGUUACAAAAUUUAUGCUGCAUAUAAAUGACUUGAGGUACAAGUUAUCCACUUGAAGCAUGUAUGUUAAGCUUUGUAUUUAAAGGGGUACAACAUGAUGAGAUGUCAAUACCAGCAACCUCCAUGGCAUUGCAGACCCAUUCAGGAACAUUACCCUCAGGAAACUAAAAAAAAAAAUCAUUGAAAUUAAUGUUUAGUAUUUUUCUCAAAAAAAAAAAAAAAAAAAAAAAAAAAAUUCUAAUGAUGAUGAUAAAGCUAGGUUUUGGAGGUAUCUUGCAGCAAAUAGUUAGGUUUUAGGUCGGAUGGAUCGAGUGAACUUUUUAGUUUUGCCGGUUAUCAACGUUUUGUGAAAAGUUAAGUUUUGUUCGUUUCUUGAUCAUUUCGCUCCAUUGUAUAAUCUAGGGGUGUUCAUGAUCUGCUUUGUCCGGUUUUGAUGAAAAUUCUUAGCCAAACCGCUAUUUGCAAUUUUGGGGAAAUGACAAACUCAAUCAGCCGACGGACUUGCCAGUUUUAGCGGUUUGAUGGUCCAGUAUUGGUGCGUUUAA
rnacentral:lncRNA from 1 species